rnacentral:rRNA from 1 species
UAUGUGAUCGUCUCUCGCAUAUCAAUAAGCGGAGGAAAAGAAACUAACAAGGAUUCCCCUAGUAACGGCGAGUGAAGCGGGAAGAGCUCAAAUUUGAAAUCUUAAAGGGUUUCCCUUUACGAAUUGUAGUUUAAAGAAGUGUUUUCUGUUGAGGUUUUGGUAAAAGUUCUUUGGAAUAGGACAUCAUAGAGGGUGAGAAUCCCGUAUUUGACCUUUACUUUCAACUUUGUGAUACACUUCCAAAGAGUCGGAUUGUUUGGGAAUGCAGUCCAAAAUGGGUGGUAAAUUUCAUCUAAAGCUAAAUAUUGGCGAGAGACCGAUAGCGAACAAGUACCGUGAGGGAAAGAUGAAAAGAACUUUGAAAAGAGAGUUAAACAGUACGUGAAAUUGUCAAAAGGGAAGCGUUUGACACCAGUGUUGUUUUUCUGAAAAUCAAUUAAAGAACUGUUUAUGCUAAGUUGUUUAGACUUUAUCAGCUAUCUGCUUAGUUUUGAGCUUUUCUUUAAUGCACUUUUCAGUUAACAAGUCAACAUCAACUUCUUUUGCUGUAAAAAAGCUUGAGGAAGGUGGCUUGAGAUUCGUCUUAAGUGUUUAUAGCCUCUUGCCUAUGCAGUCGGAGAGAUUGAGGUCUGCAGCGUAGAUCCUUCGGGGCUAAAUGCAUUUGUGCUAAGUUAUAGCAUUUUAUAGACAACUUGUCGACUAUGAUUUGUCUUGUAGCUUACUCGCUUAUGUUAUUUUACCUACGCUUAGGAUGUUGAGUAGCGACAUACGCAC